rnacentral:rRNA from 1 species
UGGGGAAUAUUGGACAAUGGGCGAAAGCCUGAUCCAGCAAUGCCGCGUGUGUGAAGAAGGUCUUCGGAUUGUAAAGCACUUUCGACGGGGACGAUGAUGACGGUACCCGUAGAAGAAGCCCCCGGCUAACUUCGUGCCUAG